ensembl:misc_RNA Metazoa_SRP Metazoan signal recognition particle RNA
GCCAGGUGUGGUGGCGCACACCUGUUGUCCCAGCUACUAAAGAGGCUGAGGUGGGAGGAUUGCUUGAGCCCAGGUGUUCAUGGCUGCAGUGAUCAUGCUACUGCACUCCAGCCUGGGUGACUAGGCAAGACCCCAUCUCUU